GUGGAUUAGAUACCCUGGUAGUCCACGCCGUAAACGAUGAUCACUAGCUGUUGGCGAUACACAGUCAGCGGCAAAGCAAAAGCAUUAAGUGAUCCACCUGGGGAGUACGGCCGCAAGGCUGAAACUCAAAGGAAUUGACGGGGGCCCGCACAAGCGGAGGAACAUGUGGUUUAAUUCGAUGAUACGCGAGGAACCUUACCUGGGCUUAAAUGUAGAGUGCAUUGGUGUGAAAGCAUCAUUCCCUUCGGGGCUCUCUGCAAGGUGCUGCAUGGCCGUCGCCAACU
rnacentral:rRNA from 1 species